GAUGAACGCUGGCGGCGUGCCUAAUACAUGCAAGUCGAGCGAACGGACGAGAAGCUUGCUUUUCUGAUGUUAGCGGCGGACGGGUGAGUAACACGUGGAUAACCUACCUAUAAGACUGGGAUAACUUCGGGAAACCGGAGCUAAUACCGGAUAAUAUUUUGAACCGCAUGGUUCAAAAGUGAAAGACGGUCUUGCUGUCACUUAUAGAUGGAUCCGCGCUGCAUUAGCUAGUUGGUAAGGUAACGGCUUACCAAGGCAACGAUGCAUAGCCGACCUGAGAGGGUGAUCGGCCACACUGGAACUGAGACACGGUCCAGACUCCUACGGGAGGCAGCAGUAGGGAAUCUUCCGCAAUGGGCGAAAGCCUGACGUAGCAACGCCGCGUGAGUGAUGAAGGUCUUCGGAUCGUAAAUCUCUGUUAUUAGGGAAGAACAUAUGUGUAAGUAACUGUGCACAUCUUGACGGUACCUAAUCAGAAAGCCACGGCUAACUACGUG
rnacentral:rRNA from 1 species